UCAUGAGGGAACCACUAACAAUGUGACUGAAACUUUGUGGUUAUCUGCUAGACUGUUGAACUAAUCCAACACACACACACGGAAGUUACGUUCUCUCUAAGACUGUUAUGGCAGAGCAACUUCCAGCUGCUUAUCCAAGUUCUAUGCCGUGUAGCCUGGGCGUGGGCGUAGCUGUCACAUGAACGCUUCAGGGGAUCUGUCAGCAUGGGAAGGACAAGAAGACGGGUCAAAUGAGGCUGAAAGAGAUUGGAAAUUUGCCCCAAGCUACCAAUAUGUGUUAGAGCCUGGACUCUAACCUGCAUCUGUCGAAUCAACAUUUAAUCAGUAGUUCCAAAGGAACACUUAAGACGUGGCUUCAACAUAGAAUUUUUUAUGACAACUCUGUACUUUCUCAACUUAUCAUUCUAUAGCUAUCUUUCAAGUAAAGCUAAGAGUGCAAGAGGUCUCAAAUUCCUGCAGCCAUUUGAUAUAUGGGGGUUAUAUUUCAAUCUUUUACUAUCUUGCUUUGUCUCAUCGAUGAACAAGUAUCUAUAAAAUACGACUUGUCUGAAUCCACCUGCAAUGUUUUUGUAUUUCUUGCAUACACAAAAUCAUUUUACAAAUGUAAAGGGCAAGAAUAAGACUCAGUGGUUUGACAGAAUUUUUGCUAUGUAAGUUAGGAGGUGGAAAUUUGAAAUUCACUAAGAAUGCUGAGAGAGGUACAUUUUGUACAUCAAACAAUAUCACAAUCAGGCUCCCGGUACACCAAAUGGCUUCUUCUAGUUGAUGUUUUCAAGAUUAAGUAUGCUUUUCCUAUAGAGCUACAGUAAGACAUGACAGCGAUCAGAUUCCUUGGCUGAUUAAACACUUAGUGAACACUGAAAUAGACUUCACACCUCUUUCCCUCCAGGCAAGACAGAAGCCCAUGUGGGAGCUCAACAGCAGUCAUCCUCUCUGGAGAAAGGGAAAUAAAUACCUGAUCACUACAGUAAUUCAAUAUCAGAAGAGAAACCCAGGAGCUGAGCACAUUGCACAGUCCUCAGCAAGUGGUAAAUAGCCAAAUGUGACUUCAGUGGCAAGUCAGUCCACAGGCACUCAAAAUCUUUUGAUUUCUGAAGAAAUAGUGUUGAUCAAUUUAGUCUGUGACUUAAAAAAGCAAGUGAACUCUGUAGUGAUGAAUUCUUAUGACUACAAAUAGCAGGGUGGGUUCACACAACAAUGGAUUUGAGGGUAGUUAUGCAGUUCUGUGUUGUCCUGGGAGUUGUGGAGGAGGUUGCGAGAAUGAUUCUGCAUUUGCCAAGUAAAGAAUAAUGCAAGCUAUCCUCAUCUCCAAG
rnacentral:lncRNA from 10 species